UCGGUGUAAACAGCGUUUUUAUCGCAUGUGUUCCGCGCGCUGUCUCCUAGCGCCGCUUCAACUUGCUGCAUGCAGCGAAGUCUAGUUUAGUUUAGAUCACAGGUAAUGUGCCUAUUGCAAAUUCGCCACAAAGUCGCGUGCCGUCGACGCGCCGUUUCUGCGCACCUCUUGCUUUCUUAUCAUGUACUGUCCCGUUGUUGUUUACGCAGUUUCGGCAUGCACUAUCGGUGGAUUGCAGCCAGUUUCGUGCCGAUUGCUGGUUAAUCCAGUCGUGUUUUGAGAGGCUUAUAUCGUUUAUUCGGACUUCAAUAUUCUAAAUUUGUGUUAUACUUGAAGAUCAAUCGACUAUUUAUUUGUACAUUGCGACUAUAGUAAUUUGUUUAAUAUUCGGUAAUGCCGGUUUUUUGAUCGCGUUUGUUAUGUAUAUUACAAGUCACGUGAUAGUGGAUGUGAUAACAUUCUUCACUCGGCGUUGUGUUUGGUGUCGGUUACUAAAUUAAUCGAAUAUAUAUCGCCCCCAUGUUGAUUCUCAUCAUUAAGAUAGAUCCAUCAGGCUCCCUUACAGCACUUGUUGUGCCUGGCAGUCCGAUAAGCUGUACACUGUAAUUGAAGAAAUGCCAGUGAGGGCCAGUGACGUUCCAUGAGUUACAAUGCACAGGGCGAGAGUUCAUGGCUGAGAUUAUAAUUAAAUUCUUCAUUUCAUGGGCAUAGUUCAGUUUCGCGUCAUUGUAAUUGUCAUUCCGGUUUGAAUUACUAUAAAUUUAAUACAUUGCCCGCCUGGGAAAUGCUUAUUUUUACUGAUGUUUAAUGUUUACACUGGAAUGCCCCUGAUAUGCGAAUUUAUUGACAUUUCUUUUCGGUGCAUGAAAAUAAAACUGAUAAAACUAUAUUUAUUCCGUACCCUACAACUUGCACACGAGAAUUGUUUGACUUCUACUUAUUUAUCGGUGUUAGUAUUUCUUUUCUUUUGAUUAAAUAUUUCAUUGAAUUAUUUUGAUUUGUUCUUACCGCAGUUUUACUUGAUCGGGAAUUUCCCUUCAGUACUGUUCAACCAUUUUCCAAAUUUCGAGUUUUGUAGUGUCGAUUCAUGCGAACAAUUCUGGUUUUAAUGCAAAUACAUUCUCUGAUAUGUUCCCUACCUGGCUUCAAUACUUGUUCUACGAUUCUCAAUCUCAGGAUUUGCACUCCUGUAUUCGCCGUAGUCCGAUGUAGUCCGAUGAGUAGUCCGGUGCCCUAAAUGUAACUUCUACCGCUACCUUCGUACGGUGCCUUGAAUGGGAACUGGGAACUUGAACAGGAGAGGUUUAGCAGUACUGGUGGAAUGCGUAUUGAGGAUGUUUUGUUUACUGAAGGUGGAUGUUUCAACUGGACUAAAAUACCCAGAACAGUCCAAGAAAUUGAAGAUUGGAUUGCCGGUGUUAAUGAUGAUUCCAAACACGAUUUAAUAAAUUUACAACAUUUUUAAGCUGUUAUUGAUAUCAUUUUUGUUUAUUAUGUUAAAAAUUAUAAAAAGAGCAUUGUAUAAUUACAUGUAUAUACUGAGAAAUUGAGUUACUGAUGGGUGUAUAUUCUACAUGUUUGAAUAAAAUUGUUGUUUUAUACUUUUAACUAUAAA